AGGCUAGCGACGGAGGAAUGAGCAGAAAGUGGCGCGGCCUAUCCCUUUCGAGAGACGGAGCGCAUGGAGUUUAGUCGCGCGGGCGCAGGCCUCGGCCGGGCGAGGUUUACCUCCGAGCUGCCCCAGGGCAGCCGCCCCUGCUUUUGGCGGUUUUGAAUCAAAACGGUCUUGUCUUCAACCAGAAGAGAUUAUUCAAGUUCAGUUUGGAAUUAAGGUAUUUCUGUGUUGUCUCCUGAGUGAGGUUGUCUUGCUCCAAUUAUUGGGCCACCUUCCCCAUUAAAAUGUGGAUAUCUCUUCUCUACACAUUACCUCUGUGAUUUGGAUUGGAAAAGGCUGCUUUUCUUUUCGUUCCACCUUCUCAGAUUCAACACAGAGAAGCUCCUGGGAUGCAUUCAUCCUGCCAACUUCUCCAGGAAAAAAGAGGCAACUGACAUGCAUCUUCUGCUGCUCUUUGCUUAAUCACAAAGAAAUUAUUUGACAUGCUAAAGGCCGGUACCUAAUUUAAAGCAGGUGCUUAAAUGGUGAUAUCUGUGAGUUCUUUACAUUUUGUUCCAAACAAGAAAACUAAAUAAAUAGCAAGUAUGGAUGACAUGAGGGUUUUUUUUUUUUAAUGUCUUCCAGUUUUUGUCACCAUCAUGAUACGUACGCAUAGUUGAGACUGCAGCAGUAGAUUCCAAAUUAUGCGUUCUAAUUUGAAAUGAGAUGCUUUAAAAAUUACACAUAUCUAAAUCCUGGCUCAUCCUCUGACAUGGAUUUACUAGAUAAGAACAAAGGUCCAAUUUCGCAAUAAAACCUUUGAUGUCAUAAAGAAACAUAAAGACAAGAUAUCACAAGGUUAAUUUCAUAUGUGAAUAGACCAUCUCAACUAUAAAUACACAUUUUUACACGUGUAAAUCCACAUUUUUGGCUGAUAAGAGGGAUUUUCUCCUAAAGAAGGAAGCUGUGCUGACUUCUUUCUUAGAAGUCUUUGGAUACUUGGUAUUUUUAAAUUUUUUUUUUCCAUUCUGCUAAGGAAAGACCACAAUGUUUAGAUGGUAACCCUAUUGAAUGCCUGCUUGCGUUUAGUGAAAGGUUGGUAAAAGGAAACAAAACAGUUUUGAGUCCAGUGAUGGAACCCUCUUCACCUUCCUAGGAUGAGAGACUACUGUAUUGCAGAUUACUUCAUUCACUUUUUGGACAUUAUAUAGCACUUGAGACUUGGUUUUACAUGCUGCUGAGGCUGGAAGAAAAGUGGCAUAAGUGGUUUUUCUGUUCAGAAGAUGUGAUGGACCCUACAGUAUGACCUGCCUUCAACUUUGGACCUAGAGGAGUGGCAGAAAAAAUGAUGACAGUCUUCAUACUAUUUCUUUCUCCUAAGGAAAAAAAGUGAAAAUGCUUUAUGCAGCUCCAUCUCACUUUAUGGCACUUCACAUUCUACAGCUCUGUUUUCUGUAAAAGCAUAAAUGACUUCUUUCCUUUGACCCGGGAUAGGUUCUUGGGUGUUUGAUUUAUUUUUUUCUAGGCAAAUAGGUGUAAUGUUCGGCUGAAAAGGCUGGGACUCAGGUAACUUUCCCUAGUUGGAAAUGAACUUUCUAAUGGGCCUCAGAAGAAAUGUUAGGAGGGUCAGUGUAAAUUUAGAAGAAAAUCAGGGUAUGAAAAAAAACACUUAAACAAGAAAAAUAGUUCUAAUAAAUAAUAGUUUCCUCUCUGUUGAAACAUACUAUCUGAUGAAUGGACUAUCGCGUAAAGCUGUCCUUGCUUCCACAUCAACAAAGGACCGUUGUAUGAUUGGCCAGGUUUUUACAUAAGAAGAAUGACACCUUAAAUUAUAAGUCCUUGUGAGUAGAGAAAGAAUUUAAAGCUACUUAGAAGAAAUUACGAACAAGUCAUCUCAGAUCAUCUUUGUAAUAGAGGGAACGCCCCCAGGGCCAUACAUGCUGUGCUGCUGAAAUCUUGGGGAAGAUUUACCAGAAUUUGAGGGUAGUAGAAAUAGCCAAAAAUGUGAAAUACUGAGCACUCUUAAUGAUUAGUUAAGUUGGUCAACCAACUUGAAUUGGCAUUAAGAAAGCGUUUUAGUAAAAUAAAUAAUACAGAUAAAGCCUAAUUUCCUUUAAUUGAGGGCAAUUAUUGAGUAGUAAAGCACAGUAGAAGUAAUUUUGGAUAAAGGUAACUUAAAUUUUUCUGUAAGUAACUUCUCAGCCAUUUCCUGAUGUUUUCUUUCAGUAUUUUAGAAUCAUUAAAGACAAUGGAAACCUCCACACAUGAAUUCCAUUGCUGUGUUGAGCUUGUCAUAUAUAUUACCAUGGAGAAUUUGCAUCUUUACAGUUGUCUGUUAUCCAUCUUACCCAUGUUUGGGGGCAACUUUUUGGCAGGAGAUAGAGUCCCUGUACUAUUAGCAACAGUGAAACCGUCUCUACUUGUUUGAAUAUAUGUAUGUACCAGACUCAGCUUCUCCAGUUGCUUUAUAUAUUUUUGUUUCACAGUUAAGAGAAUGACUGUUUAAUGCUCUCUUUCAAGUUGUUUCUGCAUUUUCUAUGAUUUUCACCAGAUGGCAUUUAGCGCAAUGGGUAUAUUCCAGUUGUGCUUACCUAGCGUUUGCUUACAUCUACAUUGUUUUUUUCUGGUCUAUUUUUGGUUCCCUUCUUGAUGGCAAAGCUAUAAUUUUAGGCAGGACUGUGCCUCAGUCUAUAGCUGUGCCUACUUCCUUUACUCAUCCAUGUUAGCUGGCAGUUUUCUUUUAAAAAGUUGAACAAAAACGGGAUAUGUGCAAUAGAAAUAUAUAUAUGUAUAUUUUAAUACUUGUGGACAAAUGUUACAAGUUGUUUAAGAACAACAAAAUCACCAAUGUCUUCCAUUUUGAGAUGUGUAUAGUUUUGUAAGCAUUAGUGCUUGGUAGCAUAUUGUAGUGCCAUGUUAGGGGUUAGUGCAUGAGCCUAGUAAUAAUUUAAACUUCAGGAUGAAUUAUUGAUAAUAACUAAUAGUGUAAAAAGAGUGGAAAAUCUAGAUCUUUUCUUUUCUCAUAAAUAUCUGAAUCUGUGAUAUUCUCCCUGGGGAAAAGAGCUUAAGGCCAAAAAGACUCAUUUAUGAAUAGAAAUGUGGGGUCACAAUGUGAAAUACUGUCUUUGAGGAUAUUUGAGCUUUUUAUGAGUAGCUGGAAACCAGCUGCCUUUAUGUCUUACAAAACCUUAAUUCAAAAUGAGGCCCCAUUUCAUGACUCUGCUCUCUGAGUUUGAAGUCAGAUUGUUCUGGCAUUGUUUUCACGUUGUCUUCUAGGUUUAUUAUGUUCCCAUUCCUUUUGCAUCAGAUUAUAUUUUGCAUGUCUUACUGAGAUGCUGUGUUAAUUGCUCGAGUGCUUUUCUAAUCUGCAGACCAUUUAUGUUUCCUGUCUGCGGUGUGCUAUGUGUUAAUGGAAGAACUCUGGUCAGUGUCUUAGAUUAAUUUUUCACAGGCAUUUCCUGUUUCUAAAUCUGCUGAAUUGUGUACUGUUGCGAUUCCAGACCUUUUCAUGAGAAUCAGAAACAUUGUUAAAUGGAGCCUGCCUAGAUUGCUGUGUAUUAACUAACUCUGCUUGGUUAUAGUAAAUUGCCUCAGAUAGCUUUCACAUUUUUCUACUUUCCUUGUAGAAAUAAAAGUUGUUUUGUUCUGAAAGCAAAGAUAUUCCUACCUCUAAAAAGCUUUCUUGAGAACUCUGAAACAGUAGUUUUCUAGGGUGAUUUUUAAAUUUCAGUAUUAGGAGAGUCUAGAAUUUAUUGACAUAGAUUCUACAGUUAGUAUGAUAGGAAAGGCAAAACUUUUUUUAAAUUAUUUUAUUGGAGUAUAGUUGACUUAAAUGUCAUGUUAGCUUCAGGUUACAGCAAAGUGAAUCAUUUAUGCAAAACUUUUUUAAUGUGGUGUGUCACAUGUGCAGAAGUAGGCUUAAACAAAUUGACUCUUGGGCAACAGAUCUCCAGGGACCCAGGUUUAGAUUCUCAUGGUGUACUUAAAGUAAUUGUACUCUUGGUUUCAAGUAGUGUAGUGCCUGGGAGACUCCAUUUCUGAAAACCAUUUAAACAUUUUUGAAAAAUACCUCUGAAAAGGUAAUGAAUGCAAAAUAGCACAGUAUAUAGGAAAGGAUGUUUCUUGUUGAAAAAAAAAAAAGCCAUAAAACAAACUAAUAAUUUUCAAGAGGUAGAAUUUUAGUAGCAAUAACAGUUUUGCAUGUCACGUUAGAUUGUAUAGUAGACUACUGCUUGAGUUUGUGAGGCUCUGAUCAACAGAGUUCCAUGAAAGGAAAACGAUGUUCUAGGUAAAGAGUAUAUAAAAGGUACUUUCUCUUAAAAAUAUGAAUGUGUGAAAUGUCAUUAUGUGAGAAAUAGCAUCUUUUGUGUAAGUUAAGGUUAAAACCGUAUUUGUUUCCUAGAGCAGAGGGGUAGCGCCAUUGAAUGAAACUUUUCUAAUGCUUAACCUGGAAACAAAUGUGCUGCUACUGAUGUAGUCCCACUGAAGCUCAUCAUGUAGGGAUUUUGCUUCUGAUGUUUAUUUAGCAACAGGCAUUUAUAAAAUGACAUACUCUUUGCUUUGUCACCUCAUCUUUCUCCAUUAGUUUCCUGGGUGUGUAUAUAGUUAGGAUUUUUAAAAGGAAAAAAAAAAAAAAAAAAAAAAA
ensembl:lncRNA